GUGUCAGCAGCCGCGGUAAUACAGAGGGUGCAAGCGUUGCUCGGAAUUAUUGGGCGUAAAGGGUAGGUAGGUGGUCUCAUUUGUGUGGGGUGAAAGCCUUGGGCUUAACUCAAGAAGUGCCCCGCAAACGGUGAGACUGGAGUACUUGAGAGGCUAGCGGAAUUCCCGGUGUAGCGGUGAAAUGCGUAGAGAUCGGGAGGAACACCAGAGGCGAAGGCGGCUAGCUGGAAAGUUACUGACACUCAACUACGAAAGCGUGGGGAGCAAACAGGAUUAGAUACCCUGGUAGUCCACGCCGUAAACGAUGGGUACUAGGUUUGGUGGGUCUUGACCCCCGCCGAACCGGCGCUAACGCACUAAGUACCCCGCCUGGGAAGUACGGUCGCAAGACUAAA
rnacentral:rRNA from 1 species